AACCUGGGGAAAUUGCACGCAUUUUAAAAGGUUAACACAGGUUUCCUCUCUUUCAUUAGAGUUCUUACUUUUAUCGAUGAUUCAAAAGACGUCAUACAAACAGCAGGGGAUAAAGAUGACCUUUUGGAUAAACAAACACAUCGUAUAUUCAUAAAUUGAUCUCAGAUACAACGCAACACUGCCUGUGAAUUCGAAGACAAGUACAGUUCUUUGAAGUUUGAUACUUUGUCCCGGUUUUUUCAGUAAAAUGGGAGCAGGAUUUACAAAAGAUGACGAAAAUGACAGAACUGGUGCUUUAUUUCAGGCAAUACGAAGAAAUCGAUUUCAGCUGGCUACAGAUCUCAUUUCAAAAGGUGCAGGGGUCAACUGUAUAAAUUAUUUCGGCAAUACACCACUGAUAGAAACAUGUCGAAGCCACAGGGCAUCAACCAGGACAGGGAAUGCUGUUGAAUCUGACCGAGAGCGUUUUGUCACCUUUCUAAUCAGCAAUGAUUGUGAUAAGACCAAGUAUGACAUAUAUGGAUGGACAGCUCUAAUGUAUGCCGAAAAGAAUGGUCAUGAUACCAUCAUCGAUAUUUUGGAGAAAAAAGAGCAGGAAAUGAGAACUGACGAUUCAUCCGAAAACAAUGUUGGCAACAAAAGCGAGUAAGCUGGCCAACUUUGAAGUACAGCAAUAACUGGAAUACGGAAAAAUAUCAAAUAUACUUAACAGAAAUACACUUUUAAAGGGUUAAAAUAACAUUUAUUUACAUCACACUUCAUAAUCAACUGCAUCCAUUUAGCAAUACAUGUGUAUCGAAUAGAAUAUUGUUUUACCAGUCUUUACCUAUCUCCACCAACCGACAGCAGCUUAUAUUAAGUUAAGAUAUGAUCCUUAUGGCGAUGUUAUUACAGGGGACCUCAACAUCGUUCAAGACCGAGAGGUUAUAAACUUUUCGAAAAGAGGACAAAGUUAUCGUCCUCCUUCCGUCAAAAAUAUGUUGUUUUUUUUUCAAUAAAGCAUAUGAAAAUAAAA